CGCGAAGCCGAGUAUCCGCCCUGGCGGCAGGUCGGGGCUGGCCCUGAGGGGAGCCUGAGCGGCGGCUCGGCACCGGUGGCAGCCCUGAGGCGUGGGGACGGCCGGCGGAGAGGCGAUCCCUCUGGCCCCGCGGCUGCCGAGAUGCCCUCGGAGGAACCGUGCUGAGGGGCAGUGAAGUGACUCGGGGGCGAAGGGCAUGCCGGGGGGAGGAGGGAGUGGCGUGGAGGCGGCCCAAGAGCGGCCUGUGGCCUAAGGUUCCAUCCCCUUGGCAAAGGCAGGCCGUGAGUAACCAACUGCCUGGAAGCCUCAAAGGAGCCGUGAGGGGAAGGCACACGCUGGGUGCCAGACGCGCAGGAAGCUGUGGUGGGAAGGAGCACACAAAGGUACCAAGGCGGUAAUCUAACAAGAAAUCUAAGACACUGCAAAAUCUAGGAGGAAAUCAGAGCUUUGAGGCAGAGACUGAUCACUUCUGUGCCUCUGUGUACAGAGAUUUGGGGUUUGUCUUCUGAAUUCAUGGUGGACUGGCUAGAUUAAAAAGCUGCGUGUCCCUUAGUUCUAGUUCCUUUCCUGUUCCCGUAAUUCAUUGCGGAGCUUGUAUUAUCCCAGGUUGUGAUGCAACAGUUCCCAUCUGAGAUUUUUCUUUACAAAACUGAUGUUCAUUAGUGUGUUAAACUACAGAUGCCAAAGCCUGGUACAAUUGUUUGCAAUUUUACGGCAAUAAAUUGUACUUAAGCUCUGCA
rnacentral:lncRNA from 1 species